rnacentral:rRNA from 1 species
AAUUUUCGGCAAUGGGGGCAACCCUGACCGAGCGACGCCGCGUGAGUGAAGAAGGUCUUCGGAUUGUAAAGCCCUGUCGUAAGGGAAGAACCGUACCAGUAGGGAAUGACUGGUACCUGACGGUACCUUACCAGCAAGCCACCGCUAACUACGUUCCAGCAGCCGCGGUAAUACGUAGGUGGCAAGCUUUAUCCGAAAUUAUUGGGCGUAAAGGGAGCGCAGGCGGCUUAUUAAGUCUGAGGUUAAAGUUCGGGGCUCAACCCCGUGGUGCCUUAGAGACUGGUAGGCUAGAGUGCAGGAGAGGUGAGUGGAAUUCAAUGUGUAGCGGUAAAAUGCGUAGAUAUAUGGAGGAACACCAGUGGCGAAGGAGGCUCACUGGCCUGUAACUGACGCUGAGGAUCGAAAGCGUGGGGAGCAAAU